UACAGAGGGGGCAAGCGUUAUUCGGAAUUACUGGGCGUAAAGGGCUCGUAGGCGGCCAACUAAGUCAGACGUGAAAUCCCUCGGCUUAACCGGGGAACUGCGUCUGAUACUGGACGGCUUGAGUUCGGGAGAGGGAUGUGGAAUUCCAGGUGUAGCGGUGAAAUGCGUAGAUAUCUGGAGGAACACCGGUGGCGAAGGCGGCAUCCUGGACCGACACUGACGCUGAGGAGCGAAAGCCAGGGGAGCAAACGGG
rnacentral:rRNA from 1 species